rnacentral:rRNA from 1 species
AUGGAUAAUAGAGUGGCCAUCUUUGCUGAUAAGCUUAUUAGCAAACAUCAAAAUGCUUUCAUUAAACCUAGGAAUAUCAUGGAUGGGAUUCUCACCCUCCAUGAGAUCUUACACCACACACAUCAUAAGAAGAAAAUUGGGGUGGUUCUGAAGUUGGACCUCGAAAAAGCAUACGACAAAAUUAAUUGGGAUUUUCUCCUUGAAUGUCAUAGCAACAGAGGUUUUGGUACAACCUGGUGUGGUUGGGUGAAGAAAAAUCUAAGUAACGGCACGAUCAGUAUUAAGCUGAACAAUACGACUGGGCCUUACUUCCAAAGCCACAAAGGGGUACGCCAGGGCGACCCUCAUUCCCCUUUUUUGUUUAAUCGCGAUUAA